UACUAAAGUUGUUGCGGUUAAAAAGCUCGUAGUUGAAAUUGUGUUCCGCGGCGUCUGUCUGCCUUUGCGGUACGACGGGCGCGUCUGCGGGAUUUCUCGCCGGUGCGUGUUCUCCGCCGAGGUGUCGCAUUCGUGCGGCGCCGAAGCGGGCCCUCGCGGCUGUUUACUUUGAACAAAUUAGAGUGCUCAAAGCGGGCUUAUAUUUGCCUGAAUAUUGUGCGCAUGGAAUAAUAGAAUAGGACCUCGGUUCUGUUUUGUUGGCUUUCUGAUACCGGAGGUAAUGAUUAAUAGGGACAACUGGGGGCAUUCGUAUUGCGACGUUAGAGGUGAAAUUCUUGGAUCGUCGCAAGACGGACUAAAGCGAAAGCAUUUGCCAAAGGUGUUUUCAUUAAUCAAGAACGAAAGUUAGAGGUUCGAAGGCGAUUAGAUACCGCUGUAGUUCUAACCAUAAAUGUUGCCAGCCAGCGAUCCGCCGUAGUUUCUUAUUUUGACUCGGUGGGCAGCUCCCGGGAAACCAAAGCUUUC
rnacentral:rRNA from 1 species